GACCGUAAUGGUGUGGUGGUGUUUUCUUUGCAGCCAGUUGGAUAUCGUCGGGAACAGGAAGGCCGUGGAACCACGUGCCCUGCCGCCUACACAAGGCCUUCAGGAAGAUCCAUGCUAGGCUCGUGAGGGAGCUCGAGAAGAAGUUCAGCGGCAAGUAGUAUACAUAUGUAACACCUCUAUCGUUUAUUGAGGAGGUUCUUAGACCACUAAAUAUGUCAGCAUCAAAUGGGAAGUGGAUCGAUGGGCUCCAGUUCUCAUCUCUGUUCUGCCCUGGCACAUGAUGUGCAGCAGAAACAGGCACAAACUUUGGUCUAUGUUGAGUGCUUUGGUCAGCUUACAUGUGAGAGCGAGCAAUUUCCGAAGGAUGUAGCUCAGCUCAUUUAGAGUUGAUAUCCAUCAAAUGAAAAACGUUUGGUAGCUGAAGUAUCAAGUAAAAUAUGACUUCUGCAUGACCAUGCUGUUGUACUCCAAUUCAUUCACGCAUCAUAGAUGGGAUACACUGAGUUCUGAAGUACUCACAGAAGUAAGCCUUGCCCUGUUGAGAAAUUGUUAAGAGUUUUACCUCACCACAAUAGGCCAAUCUUCAAAGUUGCAGAAUUGAGCCCCUCACAAAUGUAUUUUUUCCUUCACAUCUUCCAGCAGAAAGUAAGAAAUAUGUAGUUAUUUUGUAUGUCUAUAUUUUAACGUGGUUAGAGAUUAA